rnacentral:rRNA from 1 species
UCGGCUUAGAGUUUGAUCCUGGCUCAGAUUGAACGCUGGCGGCAGGCCUAACACAUGCAAGUCGAGCGAAGUUCUUCGGAAUGAAGCGGCGGACGGGUGAGUAACGCGUGGGAAUCUGCCUGGUAGUGGGGGACAACGUUCCGAAAGGAACGCUAAUACCGCAUACGCCCUACGGGGGAAAGGGGUUCGUCUCGCUAUCAGAUGAGCCUGCGUCGGAUUAGCUAGUUGGUGAGGUAAGGGCUCACCAAGGCGACGAUCCGUAACUGGUCUGAGAGGAUGAUCAGUCACACUGGAACUGAGACACGGUCCAGACUCCUACGGGAGGCAGCAGUGGGGAAUAUUGGACAAUGGGGGAAACCCUGAUCCAGCCAUGCCGCGUGUGUGAAGAAGGCCUUAGGGUUGUAAAGCACUUUCAGUGGGGAGAAAGGUUGUUUAUAAUUAAGCAAAUUGAUGUUACCCACAGAAGAAGCACCGGCUAACUCCGUGCCAGCAGCCGCGGUAAUACGGAGGGUGCAAGCGUUAAUCGGAAUUACUGGGCGUAAAGCGCACGUAGGCGGUUUGAUAAGCCAGCCGUGAAAGCCCCGGGCUCAACCUGGGAAUUGCGGUUGGAACUGUCAAGCUAGAGUACAGUAGAGGGGUGUGGAAUUUCAGGUGUAGCGGUGAAAUGCGUAGAUAUCUGAAGGAACAUCAGUGGCGAAGCGACACCCUGGACUGUACUGACGCUGGGUUGC